GGACAAGAUGACGUCACAAGUCAGCAAUCACAAGUUACUUGCAACGUAAAUAAAAUACGUUAUCGUCACUAAAGGAUAAGUUUCCAGGUCGUGAUGAACACCGUGGUCUUCAGUGUGACCAGUUUUAAAUUGGUGAAGAUACUGAAGGACGAUUCAUUCGAUUCAUUAGCCAAGGAUCUAAAACCUAACAUGGUGGACCUGGCCAGAUGUCCUAUAUAACAAAGACAUAAAACACUGUACAUCAGAUUCGACUUGUCUUACCUAGGGAUGUCCAUAACACUUCGACUUGGGAACCUAGGGAUGUCCAUAACACUUCGACUUGGGAACUAGGGAUGUCCAUAACACUUCGACUUGGGAACCUAGGGAUGUCCAUAACACUUCGACUUGGGCAGCAGGGGUGGAUCUAGGAGUCCGACCAAAUUCUAGUGGGUCUGGACCCCCCUGAUCCUCGCUGGAACCGCCAGAGUCUGGUAGUUGGUAAGACCAGACUAGUAAUAGGAAUUUAAUUAUUGCAAACCCAGUAAUUCAUUGACCAUGUACUAUAAAAAAUUCACUUCAUAGGCUAAUUUUGUUUUAAAUUCACAGGCCCACGCUGCAUGGCCACACACUUUGAAACGUAUAUAAAUGUCGUAGGUAACGACGGUGAUUUCUACAAGAGGCCUCUUCCUGCUAUGCCUGGAAAUUCGAUCCGGUAUGGACUUCAGCCAGUCGGUGUGAACACUCUCACUAAAUUCAUUAAAGAAAUAAGUCAGAGGGGAUCUUUGAAAAGUGUUUAUUCCAACCAUAGUGGGUUGUGCAACCAGCAUGUACGAAGCUGGCAUAGACGAGCACGAUAUUAUGGACAGGACAGGUCAUAGAUCUGUUACUUCUGUCAGAAAGUAUAAACGCUUGAACGAUAAAUCCGUAAAAAGGUGUCCAAUGUACUGGAUCUUAAUUCUGACGUCAACGUAUCCAUUUCGAAAAGGCACGAGCAAAGUGACGAUGACAAAGAAGUAAAUCUUAAAAACUCGCCGUGCCAUAAGAAACAAAAGGUUCAAAAUGCACUGUCUGAAAUUACAACCAAAUCUGGAGUAGUUAAUUUUAGUGGAUGCACUUCCAAUUUUAACAUGCUUGAUGUUUUGAAAUAAAAGUCUUUCUUUCUUUUCAGCUUUUCAGUCUUUACAAGUAAAGCAGUGCAAUAACUGGGGUGCAGGUAUCUGAUACGCGCACUAUUAGUUCACUGAAACCACAUCCCGUUAGUUAACCGUGCUUGAAAUGUAUGAUAUGUUGGUAUACGAUUUAACCACUGAAAAGUUCCUAGGCUAUGAUAUAAUAUAAACAAAAUACAUAACCAAUUAAUAUAAUUCGAUUUCAGGAAAUAAACAGUAUAUACCAUUAGAUUUUUUAAUUUUCUGUAUAUAGGAUUUACUCGUUAGUGCUUUUAGAUGUAUACUAUCAUUUUAAUGUUGGAGCUUAUUGCAUGUAUUAGAAUGUUUUAAAAAAUCAUAAUUGGUGUAGUAUUUUCAAAUUUUGUUCAUCAAGUUGUUUUAAUCGCGUAUGCAAUAAAUCAUUUAACAAAAAUUAAAACUGUUUCGUCACUCAUAUACUUAUGCAUAAAAGUUUAUAUUGUAAGUGCAUGUAGUAACUAAGUAUAUUAUGUAUCACAGUAAAUAAUUUUUUCUAUUUUUCCAAAAAUCAAAUAUUGUGCUCUCAAAACAUUAUGAUAGCUAAGCUACCUGUACUGAUUUGGUCUUUUUUACAUUUGUUUGUCACAAGGAAAAUGAUUUGGGAAGGAAACUUUUAAUAGUGUCGCUUUUCUUUCGUUCUCCAUCGUUUCAUAUAUAUUUUGGGAAAAUAUAUAAAUACAUGGUUCUUAAAAAUGCCUGAGAUACAGCAAACGCAGCUGAUACUGUGUAACAACUGACAUCAUCAGCUUAAGCAUGCCUCUGGGAGUUCAAGUUGUACGACAGACUUUAUGGUGACUUUGCAGUGCUGAUCAAUCACUAAUAUGCCGGUUGAAAGAGCCUCCACUUUUCCGAUAACCGUUCUGCUGCUGAACACUACUUCCCGACUGUGGCUAUUUUGUCCUUGCAUGUUAAUCAAACUUUCGAAGAGCAUUUUCUGAACAUUUUCUCAUGUCAUUAUUUUUGAAAUGAAAUGA
rnacentral:lncRNA from 1 species